rfam:Heterocephalus glaber contig86450, whole genome shotgun sequence.
UGGGAUGUAGCCCAGUGGUAGAGCACUUGCCUAGCAUGCACAAAGCUCUAGGUCCAAUCCCUAGCAACACAC